UACACCACAGAUCUGUCACACGUCUGUCGUUCCGUCUCUCGUGUAAAAGAUGUGGGUAGGUAUACGUAAGGGUAAAGUCGGCUAUCCCGAUGGUCUUAAGAGUAGUAGUGGUGUCGAGUUUUUUCAAGAGGACUCGCUCGAUGGUAAGUCGCGAGUCCGUGGGUUUCAUGGAAUGGGUUCCUAUGCUCUCAGUACGAAGAGUUCGGAAUGGUGAACCAGCGAGGCGAUCAGGACGAGGAGUACCGGCGGCCGUCGUCGCCGCCGUCGCUACUACCAGCCGUCAAGCGAGAGUUGCCGAAGCGCCCGCGCUUGGACUGCGAGCCGCCGCGUUCGUGCCAGUACGGCUUGCCGGACGAGUACGACUUGUUGCCGCGGUGGUCUUUCUACUUCCCGGUACGGAAGGUAGGCAGGGGCGACGGCAAGCCGCGGCCCAGUUUGCCGUGGCCGGGGCACGCCAGGAAGAGCUGGUGGAAGCAGAAGCGGUAGAAGCCGGUGCCGGUCGUGCGGCUGGAAUCGCAGGCGCCAGACCAGAAAAAGCAGAGACGCAGGACCCUCCACGAGAGGUGACGCAACCGUCCGGUCAGGAACCCGGAGUUGUUACCGUUGGUCUCGCGGUCGUAGAAGCGGCACCUCAAGCUGUGCUAGAUAUUACGGCUCAAGGCUCUGUAGUUGUCCAUGCAGCCGCAACUGCCACUAUCGGAUCACAGGGAGUCAAGGCGGUUGUGGCCCAUGAUACUACUGCUGUGGCCCGCCAAUGAUUUGGAUAGACACUAUUCGACCUUUCGGUAGGUUCACACCCACCUGAUGCUGUCGUCCCGUUUCUAAAAGUGAUACUGGUACCGAGGCGACCCGUACCAGUCCGGGUUCUCCGGGUACAACGUCUGGUGGUAACUGGAGAGACCGCACCACGUCUCGUACCGCAUGCAGCCGAAAAGUAGCCGCUACGUGUUAUAGUGGAGGCCUGUGAAGUAGGAGCCGACCUCGAAGCGCGACCUGCCCGGCCGGGGCCAAGACCUGUAGAGCCACGACGGCUGGAACGGUAGCCGGACCUGGUUCUUGUUGGUCAGGUAGAGUGUUGGUAGGUACAGGUACAGCGACUUCGAGCCCGACCGGAAUCGUAGCCACUGCGACCAAAACCAACCGUAGCCUUAGAUGUAGAGAAGUUCUGCUGCAGAGUUAACGAGGCUCCACGUUCUCCUGACCCUCCCACACGAAGCGUUCGGACUGCACCUCCAACGUCACUUCUCUUACAGUGUACUAAGUUCCGUUCCCCAAUUCCUCAAGUAGCGGCUCCACCACUCGUAACCAGCAGAAGCUGUGGCUUUAUAGCGUGUCAACAACCCGAUGAGGUCCGCAUUCCCACUUGAAGAGAACCAAAUACUGAUGUACUUUUUACCAUCAGAACUGUUCAUGGAUGUGUGUUCUUUACCGGGUUGAGAUACAACCAGGGUCUCCAUAAGUUAGUAGUUUCCACACCGUAGUUCGAAUAACAUAGAUGUACUCCUUACCCUCGUCCAGUAGUAGGUGGCUCUAUAUUUCCGUUCAUUACACGAGAACCUGUGGUUCUACUUACCUGCCAACCCACUAAAACCAGAACGUUCCUAUAUACUGGUGCUUUGACGGCGACUUUGGUGGGUACACCGACCGUGGGACCCUAUAGAACGUGGUUUUGAGGGCGCGCGGCCCUCCGAUUGUGGAAAGAGACUACAUAUACGUAAACCGCAUAAAGAGGAUCUCCAGUGUACACCUGCUUCCGGUUAGAAGUAGCUACUCGUUUUGUUGGCCCAUAACAACCAGCUUACCCAGGAACUCGUGGUGGUGUUACCUAGUUACGGGCUGUGCCACCUAGGUGCUGAGCCUCCCCUUAAGUUGUGCCUCCUCCAUUGGUAGCACGAGUUUGAUCCAAAUGAUACGUGCAUGGGUAGUGGGUGACGUGCCGGAUAGUACGCUUUCCAGUACGUCAUGGAGCUUGUACCAGUUAGCGAAGGACUAAAUAGAGGCCGGAUGUAUUCGAUGCAUUACUACCGGGUUUACGUUUUACUUCCUAAACUAAGUGUGUUGUUCGGUACAAGAGUCGGGCGUUACUCACAGCGGUGACAUAGCCAUGUUCACCAAUUCUUUCUAAAGUACGUAUCGAAACUUCACAUGGAAGUGACCAGCUAGUCAAGUUUGCCGGCUGAACUCAGUUACCGAUGAUGAUGCACGGUCCGCACGUGCGCGGCAACACACAGGAAACUAAACUCGUAGCUAGCUCGUGGAUACCCCUAACCCCUUAAGUACCUCGUCGGCCGAGCCGUCUCACGACGAGUCGAAAGCUGCGAUGACAGUUCUAAGUUCCAGUGGUGUCUGUCGUUGCUCAGGUCGGUGUGGCUCGACGGACUCCGGCAGUACCGGCCGGAGCACCCGGAGGAAGCAGUCGAGUGUACACAAACCAAUAGGCCGUUCGCGAACGAAACGGACCGGUUCGUUCCCUCGCUACUUAAACCAAAUACU
rnacentral:rRNA from 1 species